rnacentral:lncRNA from 10 species
CCGAAGGAGAGAGCGCAGAGAGGGAGAAUGUGUCUGCGUGCGUGUGAUCCCUCUAGGGGUGCAAGUUCAUCCCCCACCUAGCCACCCACCCCAUCCAGUCGGCACCUAGAGCCGCACGGAGGUUCGGACCCCGCCCGCCGAGGGCGCCCACACCUGGAGCUGGGUUUCGGCCUCUGCGAAAGUGAAAUGCCCAAGCCUCCGGCCAAAGCCCAGACCAGUACAGUAUGAAUUGUCCUAUGAGACUGAGGGGUUCGGCUUCAUUCCUACCUGCCCGCAAAGCUCGCCCCCAGCCUCGAAAACAAAGCGACUGGUCUGACGUGGGGUCCCUGCGCCCCUCCUCUAGCGCGACAGGACCCCCCCAGGGAAGAGCCAGUACCCGUGGGAUGUCACCCCGUCCCCAUCUACCGGGGUGGGGGGCCUGAAAGGAGAACGAUUUAAAAUAAUCUUCAGAAAGAAAAGGGAGGAGGGAGCGGGUGACACAUCGUUCACAUAAACCCAAUUUCUGGUUUCGAGUGAAGUCAAGAUCUCCGCCCCUGCGCCUGCACACACACCUCCUGCCUAACAUUCUCAGCUGCAAAUGCCAAAAAAGAAAAAAAAAAAAAACAGCAAAAGUUGGGACUGCCACCUAUUUAUUUAGGCACAGCCAAAAUUGGUCAGAAAGGGGAGUAAAGUGGGACACGAGCUUCAAAGUAGGGAAACCAAAGAAGGGAGCAUCCACGUCCUCUCUCUGCAGCUUCUCCCCCGCGUUCUUCGGGCGAAUCCGAGGGACGGGCGCUGCGCUGGGGAAAGUUUGUCCCACCCGCGUUUCGCAGCUGGUUGCAAGGAGAGGAGGAGGAGAGGGAGGGUCAAGCUCGGAGCCUGUGACCGCACGGAUGAUCGAGCCGGCGUCGCGCUUACCUCGCAGUCCUCGUACUUGAUAUUAUCCGUCAAUUUCCAAAGCAUUUUCAUGGAUCGGCGUGAACGGAUAUGCCCCUCUCGGUCUCGCACCCAAGUGGAGCUACUCUCUGGCUCUUUACCAACAGCCUAAUCGCCUCAUUAGCAUAUCAACAAUAGUCCAAUUGCUCGCCAGUACCACAAUCUGCCGCCGGCCGCUCCGACACAGGUAUAAAGGCCUCUCUACGCCGCGAACUUGCUUCUAGAGCGCACUCCAGCCUGCGAACUGAUAAAACCUUCCUCGAGCUCCGCCGCGAGGCCCUGCCCCAACACCCCCUCUCUUACCCCAAUUCCGCCACAUUCCCCUUCCUUUCUUUCUCCGCUUCCUUUUCUCCAGAGAUGCCUUCUGCAAAGCCCGGCACUGCUCAAGGUCCAAGCGCCACGCCUGGGGCCCAGCUUCUAGCACUUCUCCCUUAACCCUGCUACCACGAUCCGAGCUGCCCUUUUGGCCCCGUGCAAUUUUAUUAGAAAUCAUUAUCCCUUUCGCAAUUAAACAUAACCACCAAACCAAGACCGGCGAAGUCACUCCAGGAUUUUUUCCCAACAAGGGAUCGCCUCCGCUCGAGGCAGCCACCCCCUCGGGCCGCAGCGCCUUGGGAGUUUUAUUGGCUUUGAGCUUUCCCCCAGGUUGGAGAUUCUGCCAAGCGGCUCCGGUGGCUCUGCUGGGGUUUGCAAUCCCUUAAUUGCAGCGUGUAAAAUAAAAGUUGUACCCUGAAGAGGUUACUUGACAGCUCCAGGGGUUAAACAAUUUUUCUCCUGUUUGUGUGAAGCUAGGGCCAACUGACAGUUCAAAUUGGUGUUCAGGCUAAGGUUUCCUGGGUGCAACGUGGACACGAAUACAGAACUCCUAUGGAACUGCACACCCGCUUCUGAAGUUGAGCCUAAAAACAGACGUGUGUGUGCCUGCAAGUCUAGAUACCGUCUCGUGCGUGCAUCAAAAUAAAUCACCGGGAACCGACUUUUAGCUGUGUUAAUCUGCUCUAGUUUUCCCAAGAUUCCCCUUUUUAAUUAAAGCAGGGAGAGUUCCUUCAUGAUUUGGUGAUGCUACUAACGCGGGCGUGCUCGCGAGGCAGAGCCCGGCUGCCGCGGAACCUGGAGGCCUGGGAGCCACCUACUCGUCCAGACUGGUCAGUCCGGGCUUUUGGACUCCUCACCGGGGCCUGCUGGGUCCUCUGGGGCUUUUAUCCCUUUCGGUUUUGGGAUUUUUUUUUAAGUAAGAAAAAAAAAAAAGAAAAGGACCUAAUGUGACACUAGGAAAUACAGAGUAAUUAAUUUUCCUGGCUGAGCUUCCUCGUUUGUCCUCCAAAAGAAAGUUACCUCUGUCUUUUCUCUCUGCUAUAUGUACAAACUCCUUAACUACACUAGGUCCCGCCUCAGAGUUGCUCUAGUAAGGACCUUUGAUUCAUCUGGGCUUGUUUCUCGAAAAUCUCCAGGCCUCCCAUAUUUCCACCGGG